CUGGCAAAGGCGGAGGAACAGCUGCAGGAUGAAGACAGCUCUCAGUUCCUGCAGGGAUUUUCAGAGCUGAGGUGUUCACAAGACCUGCAGCCUUUAUCUGAAGAUCUCUCUCUGGACUUACCAAAAGGCCUUUUAAAGUACAGUUUGUGGAAAAAGUUGGGAGCUGUCAUCAG